rnacentral:rRNA from 1 species
CCUACGGGAGGCAGCAGUGGGGAAUAUUGCACAAUGGGGGAAACCCUGAUGCAGCGACGCCGCGUGAGUGAAGAAGUAUUUCGGUAUGUAAAGCUCUAUCAGCAGGGAAGAAAAUGACGGUACCUGAUGAAGAAGCACCGGCUAACGACGUGCCAGCAGCCGCGGUAAUACGGAGGGGGCAAGCGUUAUACGGAUUUACUGGGUGGAAGGGGAGCGUAGGCGGGAGCGCCAGUCUGGAGUGAAAUGCCGGGGCUUAACCCCGGAACUGCUUUGGAAACUGGGCUGCUGGAGUGCAGGAGAGGUAAGUGGCCUUCCUAGUGUAGCGGUGAAAUGCGUAGAUAUUAGGAGGAACACAAGUGGCGCGGGCGGCUUACUGGACUGUAACUGACGUUGAUGCUCGAACGCGUGGGGAGCAAACAGGAUUAGAUACCCUUGUAGUC